GAAUAUUAUGUCACAUCAAAAUCUAAAUUUUGUUAUGUUGUUUUUUGGGCGAAUAUGGACACUGUUUUACAUUGAAAUUGUAAUACAGAUACUUCAGAAGUCACAAAAUUAUAACUAUGAAGGUAAACUUUCCGGAGAAACACUUUAACUUUCCGUCAUGUUUAACUCCGCCACAUUCUGUAUGUAUGUGUCUGUCCCAAGUCAGAGGCCUAUGGUUGUCG
rnacentral:lncRNA from 1 species